rnacentral:misc_RNA from 1 species
GUGUUAGUUUGAUAAACUUCUCGCAUUUGUAUAAGGGAUGUUUCUUGUUACAAAUCGGGCAAUUUGACAUGUAUGUCGCAACGCUUUGAUAUUCUUUAUUUAUUAAUUUUCCAUACCGAUGUUCCUUUUGAAAUUGAGGCUUGUAAGUCUUGUUAUUAACUGAUUUUUGUUGAUUAUAUUUUUUGAAUGAUGACAACAUUUCUCUAUCUCUUAUGCCGCUUGGUUCUAAAGCGAUGAAUUUGCUCUCUAGGAAGUCCAUUAGCUCCGAGAGUGAAGGAAAUUCUCGUGGCAUUUUCCGGGCUUCCUUGUAGUCGUUAUAGGUGACUGUAUCCAGCUUUUUUGUAAUAAUAUGAACUAGUAAUGGGUCCCAGGUACUUGUAUCGAUACCCAGGUUUUUAAUAGCGUAGAUACAUUCCAUUGACGUGUCGUAAAUACGUCUAAUCUCGUACGCUGAUUGUUUUUGAGCGGCUGGCUGAUUGAUAAAGAUUUUGAUUUGUUUAGUAAAUAACAAUUGUGGAUUGUUAUAUCUGUGUGUCAACAAUUCCCACGCUGUGUCGUAGUUGUCCGCUGAGAUAGUUAGAUGUUGGAUGAUUCGUUCAGCAUCUCCUCGUAAUUUGCUCUUUAGGUGUUGCAUCUUCUGAGUUUUUGUAAUCAAAUUGUUAUUGUGAAUACUUUCUACGUAUAAGUCAUAAAACGUAGGCCAUUGCGUAUAUUUGCCUGUAAACGACGGCAAGUCGAUCUGUGGUGUCGAUUUUUCAUGAUGAAUGGUCGAUGUGAGUUUAAGAUUCAACGCCCUUUUGAUUGACUUGUAUGAAUCUUCGUAGGCGUAAAACUCACUAUCGUACUGGGUAUCCGAUCCUUGUAGGAUAUUAUCUAUUUGCAAGUGCAAAGCGUCUAUUGAGUUCCAGCGCGUUUGUAUGUUGCGUAACUCGUCUUCCAGCUCCCAUUUGUCUUGGAUUUCAUCUACUUUCAAGCGAUUUAUUUGUCGAUGAAAAGCUCGGAAGUUUGUUCUUUGGAGUGACAUCAAUUCUGUUGCCUGACCUCGAUCCGUCGUUGAGGUCUUAGUGGCAUUUGAAAUUUGAAGUGAUCCCUCCAUUUUCAUCAUUUUUUAAUGCUGACGUUUAUGUAAAACUGAUAGGACCGUCUUCAGAGGUCCAGGCCAGUCUCUCAGUGGAUAGUGCGACCUUGUUUGCGCCUUCUCAAUUUAACUGGUGGAACCCGCUUCUGGGAAGCCAGUCAACCGAUUCGCAGUCACACAAAUUCCACGUGAGUGUUGUGGCCACUGUAUCUGGAUUCUCCAAAUGUCGAUGGAAAUCCGUAGAGUUUAUAGUCUUGAUUGACUGUUUUCUUGAGUGAUUUCUCGAAGAAAUAUUUGUUUUUUCUCGAAGGAUCAAAACGACUGUAUGUAUCCUCGAGGUAAGACUGUUGUCUUGUAGCUUGCAGGUUCAGAAUGACUGCGCAGCUUGUCAGCAGCAAGGCUGUAUUCUCGAAGGACCAAAAAACUGUAUGGCCCUGUCUGUGUGAGUGAGAGACGACAUGUGAGGGAAGGUUACGAGGGAAACCAAACCCAAUGAAAGUCGAUCAAACACU